rnacentral:tRNA from 1 species
AGUUAAUUAGCUUAAUAACAAAGCAUAUGCCUUGAAAUCAUAAAAUAGAAGUUUAUCACUUCUAUUAACUU